rnacentral:lncRNA from 1 species
GCUUGUUUAUGAUCAAAAGCUAGUAUCUAGAAGGAAAUUUUGUUAAUAUUUUGUACCUGUGUAUCUGUAUUUUACUUAUAAAUGGACUUAGUUUUUCUUCCAGUUAACAUUACAUCCAGUCUGCAGUUAAAGUUUUUAAAACAUUUAUUAGAUUCAUAAACUAUCCAGGAUUUUUACCAAACUUGGACAGAAGCUUCCUACAAUCCAAACAUGGUAUCAAGCGGAAUAUUUUUAUUGAUUUUUUCCCUCAUUUUUGUUGAUCCUGCAAUUUACAGCAAAAGUAGGUGAG